GGCUUGACACAUGCAAGUCGAGGGGCAGCAUGUCCAGCAAUGGAUGAUGGCGACCGGCGGAAGGGUGCGUAACGCGUGAGCAACAUGCCCUAUACAGGGAGAUACACCAGGGAAACUUGGUCUAAUAUCCCAUAGCAUUCAUUGAAGGCAUCUUUAAUGAAUUAAAGCUUCGGUGGUAUAGGAUUGGCUCGCGUGCCAUUAGCCAGAUGGUGAGGUAACGGCUCACCAUAGCAAUGAUGUCUAGGGGUUUUGAGAGGAAGGCCCCCCACACUGGGACUGAGACACGGCCCAGACUCCUACGGGAGGCAGCAGUGAGGAAUAUUGGACAAUGGAUGGAAAUCUGAUCCAGCCAUGCCGCGUGCAGGAAGACGGCCUUAUGGGUUGUAAACUGCUUUUAUACGGGAGCAAUAAGGGUUACGAGUAAUCCGAUGAGAGUACUGUAUGAAUAAGGAUCGGCUAACUCCGUGCCAGCAGCCGCGGUAAUACGGAGGAUCCGAGCGUUAUCCGGAAUUAUUGGGUUUAAAGGGUGCGUAGGCGGCCAUUUAAGUCAGCGGUGAAAUUUUGCAGCUUAACUGUAACAGUGCCGUUGAUACUGUUUGGCUAGGAUUUGGUUGCAGUGUGCGGAAUGUGUGGUGUAGCGGUGAAAUGCUUAGAUAUCACACAGAACACCGAUUGCGAAGGCAGCACACUAAGUCAUUAUUGACGCUGAGGCACGAAAGUGUGGGGAUCAAACAGGAUUAGAUACCCUGGUAGUCCACACUGUAAACGAUGAUAACUCGCUGUCGGCGAUACACAGUCGGUGGCCAAGCGAAAGCAUUAAGUUAUCCACCUGGGGAGUACGACCGCAAGGUUGAAACUCAAAGGAAUUGACGGGGGCCCGCACAAGCAGUGGAGUAUGUGGUUUAAUUCGAGGCAACGCGAAGAACCUUACCAGGGUUUGACAUCCCGCGCAAGGGGUAGAGAUACCUUGUUCCCUUCGGGGACGCGGAGACAGGUGGUGCAUGGUUGUCGUCAGCUCGUGUCGUGAGAUGUUCGGUUAAGUCCGGCAACGAGCGCAACCCUCGUGGCCAGUUGCCAUCAUUCAGUUGGGGACUCUAGCGAGACUGCCGGUGACAAACCGGAGGAAGGUGGGGAUGACGUCAAAUCAUCAUGCCCCUUAUGACCUGGGCUACACACGUACUACAAUGGCGAGUACAACGGGAAGCGAUGUGGUGACACAAAGCGGAUCUCUUAAAACUCGUCUCAGUUCGGAUCGAAGUCUGCAACUCGACUUCGUGAAGUCGGAAUCGCUAGUAAUCGCGGAUCAGCAUGCCGCGGUGAAUACGUUCUCGGGCCUUGCACACACCGCCCGUCAAG
rnacentral:rRNA from 1 species